UACGUAGGGGGCAAGCGUUGUCCGGAAUCAUUGGGCGUAAAGAGCGUGUAGGCGGCUCGGUAAGUCCGCUGUGAAAGUCCAGGGCUCAACCCUGGAAUGCCGGUGGAAACUGUCGAGCUAGAGUCCGGAAGAGGCGAGUGGAAUUCCUGGUGUAGCGGUGGAAUGCGCAGAUAUCAGGAGGAACACCAAUGGCGAAGGCAGCUCGCUGGGACGGUACUGACGCUGAGACGCGAAAGCGUGGGGAGCAAACAGG
rnacentral:rRNA from 1 species